rnacentral:lncRNA from 1 species
UCGGAUCCUUCACUAGAAGCUCCCUGAUUAGAUCCCGCAGCGGCGUGGCUUCCCCGCCGAGAUCCGGCGACAUCGUCAGGAUCCUGAAGAAAGUCUCCUUCCGAUUCGCCCCUCGGAACGGUGUCCUUCCGUAGAGCAUCUCGUACAUCACCACCCCUAGCGACCACCAGUCAACGAAGAAGUCGUGUAGAGCAUCUCGUACAUCACCACCCCUAGCGACCACCAGUCAACGGAGAAGUCGUGGCCGUACCCCUGGAUCACCUCCGGCGCCACGUAUUCUUCCGUUCCGACGAACGAGUUCGAUUUACCCUCCGUCGCUGCUGUCGUCUUCAUCAUGGAUUUCGACC